rnacentral:tRNA from 1 species
UCGGGGAUCGUCUAAUGGUAGGACAGUGGCCUUUGAAGCCAUUAAUCGGGGUUCGAAUCCCUGUCCCCGAGCCA